rnacentral:rRNA from 1 species
CAUGAACGCUGGCGGCAGGCCUAAACAUGCAAUUCGGGGCAAGGUAGCCGUGUUCUUGCUUCCCGGAGCGGCGGACGGGUGAGUAAUGCUUAGGAAUCUGCCUAUUAGUGGGGGACAACAUUUCGAAAGGAAUGCUAAUACCGCAUACGUCCUACGGGAGAAAGCAGGGGAUCUUCGGACCUUGCGCUAAUAGAUGAGCCUAAGUCGGAUUAGCUAGUUGGUGGGGUAAAGGCCUACCAAGGCGACGAUCUGUAGCGGGUCUGAGAGGAUGAUCCGCCACACUGGGACUGAGACACGGCCCAGACUCCUACGGGAGGCAGCAGUGGGGAAUAUUGGACAAUGGGCGGAAGCCUGAUCCAGCCAUGCCGCGUGUGUGAAGAAGGCCUUAUGGUUGUGAAGCACUUUAAACGAGGAGGAGGCUACUUUAGUUAAUACCUAGAGAUAGUGGACGUUACUCUCACAAUAAGCACCGGCUAACUCUGUGCCAGCAGCCGCGGUAAUACAGAGGGUGCAAGCGUUAAUCGGAUUUACUGGGCGUAAAGCGCGCGUAGGCGGCUAAUUAAGUCAAAUGUGAAAUCCCCGAGCUUAACUUGGGAAUUGCAUUCGAUACUGGUUAGCUAGAGUGUGGGAGAGGAUGGUAGAAUUCCAGGUGUAGCGGUGAAAUGCGUAGAGAUCUGGAGGAAUACCGAUGGCGAAGGCAGCCAUCUGGCCUAACACUGACGCUGAGGUGCGAAAGCAUGGGGAGCAAACAGGAUUAGAUACCCUGGUAGUCCAUGCCGUAAACGAUGUCUACUAGCCGUUGGGGCCUUUGAGGCUUUAGUGGCGCA